AUUGAACGCUGGCGGCAGGCCUAACACAUGCAAGUCGAGCGGAUGAAGGGAGCUUGCUCCUGGAUUCAGCGGCGGACGGGUGAGUAAUGCCUAGGAAUCUGCCUGUUAGUGGGGGAUAACGUCCGGAAACGGGCGCUAAUACCGCAUACGUCCUGAGGGAGAAAGUGGGGGAUCUUCGGACCUCACGCUAUCAGAUGAGCCUAGGUCGGAUUAGCUAGUUGGUGGGGUAAAGGCCUACCAAGGCGACGAUCCGUAACUGGUCUGAGAGGAUGAUCAGUCACACUGGAGCUGAGACGCGGUCCAGACUCCUACGGGAGGCAGCAGUGGGGAAUAUUGGACAAUGGGCGAAAGCCUGCUCCAGCCAUGCCGCGUGUGUGAAGAAGGUCUUCGGAUUGUAAAGCACUUUAAGUUGGGAGGAAGGGCAGUAAGUUAAUACCUUGCUGUUUUGACGUUACCAACAGAAUAAGCACCGGCUAACUUCGUG
rnacentral:rRNA from 1 species